rnacentral:rRNA from 1 species
AUUAAAGUUGCUGCAGUUAAAAAGCUCGUAGUUGGAUCUGGGUAGUGCGAUCGCAUGCUGUUGCUUGUUCACGGUCUUGGUUACGAUCAGGGCAGUGGUCAGCUCGGCGUAGUGGUUGUGCAACCUUUCAGCCGUGUCUGUGUUUUAUUAAACAGGUGUCGAUGGGUUAAUGAGUAUUGUAUCUUAUUGACCUGUUGGCAUGCUUUCGGAUGCCUUUAAACGGGUGUCGGGGGCGGACGGCAUCUUUACUUUGAACAAAUUUGAGUGCUCAAAGCAGGCCUAUGCGCCUGAAAAUUCUUGCAUGGAAUAAUGAAAUAGGACUUCGGUUCUAUUUUGUUGGUUUUCGGAUCCGAAGUAAUGGUUAAGAGGGACAGACGGGGGCAUUUGUAUGGCGGUGUUAGAGGUGAAAUUCUGGGAUCGCCGCCAGACAAACUACAGCGAAAGCAUUUGCCAAGAAUGUUUUCAUUGAUCAGGAGCGAAAGUCAGAGUUUCGAAGACGAUCAGAUACCGUCGUAGUUCUGACCAUAAACGAUGCCAACUGACGAUCCGCGUUGGUUCUAUAAUUGACAUCGCGGGCAGUCCCCGGGGAAACCUUUAAGUCUUUGGGCUCCGGGGGGAGUAUGGUUGCAAAGCUGAAACUUAAAGGAAUUGACGGAAGGGCACCACCAGGAGUGGAGCCUGCGGUUUAAUUCGACUCAACACGGGAAAACUCACCCGGCCCGGACACUGUGAGGAUUGACAGAUUGAAAGCUCUUUCUUGAUUCGGUGGUUGGUGGUGCAUGGCCGUUCUUAGUUGGUGGAGCGAUUUGUCUGGUUAAUUCCGAUAACGAACGAGACUUUAACCUACUAAAUAGUAGACUGGUCCUCUGUGCUCGUUCAGGGCGCGGCUUCUACUGCUUCUUUAUGGAGUAGUGUGGUCGUGAUCCGACGGGUGCGGUGCCAGUUUUUACUUCUUAGAGGGACAAGCGGCACACUUAAGUCGCACGAAAUUGAGCAAUAACAGGUCUGUGAUGCCCUUAGAUGUCCGGGGCCACACGUGCGCUACAAUGACGGUGCCAGCGAGCCUGGAAACCUGGCCCGAAAGGGUUGGGCAAACUGUUUCAUCACCGUCGCGACUGGGAUCGGGGCUUGCAAUUAUUCCCCGUGAACGAGGAAUUCCUGGUAAGUGCAAGUCAUAAGCUUGCGCUGAUUACGUCCCUGCCCUUUGUACACACCGCCCGUCGCUACUACCGAUUGAAUGGUUUAGUGAGGUCGUUGGAUUGGUGUCGUUGUAGUGGCUUUAUCGCUGCUCGACUGAUAUCGAGAAGACGACCUAAUUUGACUAUUUAGAGGAAGUAAAAGUCGUAACAAGGUUUCCGUAGGUGAACCUGCGGAAG